CAUGCCGCGUGUGUGAAGAAGGUCUUCGGAUUGUAAAGCACUUUAAGUUGGGAGGAAGGGCAGUAAGCGAAUACCUUGCUGUUUUGACGUUACCAACAGAAUAAGCACCGGCUAACUCUGUGCCAGCAGCCGCGGUAAU
rnacentral:rRNA from 1 species